UACGUAGGCAGCAAGCGUUGUUCGGAGUUACUGGGCGUAAAGGGUGCGUAGGCGGUUUGGCAAGUCUUGUGUGAAAUCUUCGGGCUCAACCCGAAGCCUGCAUAAGAAACUGCCGGGCUUGAGUAUGGGAGAGGUGAGUGGAAUUUCCGGUGUAGCGGUGAAAUGCGUAGAUAUCGGAAGGAACACCUGUGGCGAAAGCGGCUCACUGGACCAUAACUGACGCUGAGGCACGAAAGCUAGGGGAGCAAACAGGAGUAGAA
rnacentral:rRNA from 1 species